GAUGCCUUGGAGAAGUGGUAACUCGCUCCCUUUGGGUCACCACACACAUGGGAGAGAUCAGGGGUUCGAACCCCCUAGGCAUCC